rnacentral:rRNA from 1 species
AGCAGCCGCGGUAAUUCCAGCUCCAAUAGCGUAUAUUAAAGUUGUUGCAGUUAAAAAGCUCGUAGUUGAAUUUCGAGAUCAAUUUGUUGGUCGUGCCUCGGUACGUACUGGCAAUUUUGAUUUCUCCCUUCUGAAGAACCAUGAUGUCAUUAAUUUGGUGUCAUGGGGAAUCAGGACUGUUACUUUGAAAAAUUAGAGUGUUUAAAGCAGGCUUGCGCUUGAAUACAUUAGCAUGGAAUAAUGAAAUAGGACGUUUGAUUCUAUUUUGUUGGUUUCUAGGAUCGACGUAAUGAUUAAUAGGGAUAGUUGGGGGCAUUAGUAUUCAAUUGUCAGAGGUGAAAUUCUUGGAUUUAUUGAAGACUAACUACUGCGAAAGCAUUUGCCAAGGAUGUUUUCAUUAAUCAAGAACGAAAGUUAGGGGAUCGAAGACGAUCAGAUACCGUCGUAGUC